AUUGUUUUGACAGAAAAGUGUAUUAAAUUUAGAAUUUAAAAAUAAACUAAUUUUAGUUUAAACAAUA
rnacentral:tRNA from 1 species